CCGCAUGCUUCUCGGAAGCACUUGGACCGGGUGGUGUGCGUCUUCCCCACCGCCUUAUAUGGCGGUGGCGCAGCUUCCAGGGAAGCAGCAACUCUUACCCCUCCUCAGUUUCAUAUACCCGAAUGCAAUUUUUUAUUGAAGUUUCAGUUCGGACAACGAAGUCAAAUGCACAGGGAAAGAGGAAGAGAGAAUCAUUCUUAACUGGGGAGGGCCCUCUCCUCCCUCCAUCUCCAAUCAUCUGCAAUUUACGUGUCGGACACAAAGCAGGAUAGUGAAAUCUGUCCACUGCGAGAUGACCCCACAUGGCAACGGCGGUGACUGUUGAUCAUGUUGACCCACAAUGAACGGUCCUGAUUCGUGGGGUUGACCUAGCAUGGACCCUCUCUGUCACAAACCAAUCUCCUCCUCCUACCACAGCCGCAGGUGCGGAUAAAUUGGGUCACUGCAGCUUCAUUUAACUUUUCAAUUCCCCACUCUCUCUCUCUCUCUCUCUCUCUGUACAUGGAACCUCAUGCUCAGACAGGACAAAGAGCAUCUCUGCGAUCUUAAUCUUGAAUCUGAGCUUGAUAUUUCAUAUUAAAUAUAGUCCGAAGAUGGAUCUUAAAGAAAAGCAGCUGUAUACAGAUACUUGGACAAAGCCUUCCUCUUCUGUGAAUGAAUUAUCCAAAAAAACAGCCUCAAAUGAUCAAUCUUUCACCAAUUUUGAUUCAAUGCAACGUCAGCAGAAGUGGGAGGGUUCUUCUGUCCUAGAUUAUGGUGUUAGGAUUGAGCCAUCAUUCCCAGAAUUCAACCAACCUUCAGAAAAUUCACCUUCGCUCCCUUGCAACCCCAAUAAUCAAAUUAAGAUCCCAGAUCGUGAAGCUGGACAGAUGAGUGAGAUGUGGGACCCUAGCGCAAUGCUGAAUAAUCUCUCUUUCCUGGAACAAAAGAUCCAUCAACUCCAGGAUUUGGUGCAUUUGAUUGUUGGUAGGAGGGGCCAAGUGUUAGGUCAACCAGAUGAACUUGUAGCUCAGCAACAACAGCUCAUAACUGCUGAUCUAACUUCUAUAAUUGUUCAAUUGAUCUCCACUGCUGGUAGUCUUCUUCCAUCUGUGAAGUAUGCUGUACCCUUGGCAACCCCCCCUAUAGGGCAGCUCAGUGGAGUUUUACUUCCAUCUAGUGCAAGUUUAAAUGGUGGUGUUUUGCCACAAAAUAAUGGUGGAAGCAAGGUGUUGGAUAUGCCAACCCAUGAUCUAAAAAGUAAUUGUGGGACUGAACAAAACUGCACCAUCGAAGAACAUGAAUCCAAGGAAGAAGAUGAUGUUGAUGAGGGAGAGAAUCUUCCUCCGGGUUCUUUUGAGAUCUUACAACUAGAAAAAGAAGAAAUCCUAGCACCUCACACCCAUUUUUGCUUGAUAUGUGGGAAAGGAUUCAAGAGAGAUGCAAAUCUGCGGAUGCAUAUGAGAGGUCAUGGGGAUGAGUACAAAACCCCUGCUGCACUUGCAAAACCCAACAAAGAAUCCAGCUCUGAGCCUGUGCUUCUUAAGAGGUAUUCCUGCCCUUACACUGGCUGCAAAAGGAAUAGGGAUCACAAGAAAUUUCAGCCAUUGAAGACUAUCUUAUGUGUGAAAAACCAUUACAAGAGAACUCAUUGCGACAAAAGCUACAUUUGCAGCAGAUGCAACACAAAAAAAUUCUCAGUUAUUGCUGAUCUUAAAACUCAUGAGAAGCAUUGCGGCAGGGAUAAAUGGCUUUGCUCCUGUGGAACUACUUUCUCUAGAAAAGACAAGCUUUUUGGACAUAUUGCACUUUUUCAAGGUCACACUCCUGCCCUUCCCCACGACGAAGCUAAGGGAUCUACUGGACUAUCUGAUCGAGGGGAAUGCAAUGAAGCUACAAGUAAGGUUGGAGAAAUAGGAUUCAACUUUGACUCAAAUGCUCCAAGUGGAAGUCAGAUUCAAAAUGUCGGGGCUGUGAAAGCAAACGUUGAUGAUCCUACUGGUUAUCUCUCAUCUCUAAUCUUUGAUACAUGUAAUUUCAGUGGGUUUCAUGAGUUUCCUCGACCAUCAUUUGAAGAUUCAGAGAGUUCAUUCUCAUUUUUAGUUCCUGGGUCUUGUAAUUACCCCCACAAGUCUGGAGGAGAGCCGAACUCAAACAGUCUCGAGUGAUGUGUACAGUGUUUCGGUUCUAAUUUGCAGCAAACGGGGUCUGAAAAUCCUGUCUAGCUUUUGUAGUAAGAUGAUGGAAAUGGCAGUGCGUAGACACGGGGAAUUGCAUAAAUCAUUCUUAAACCCAGCUCAUCGUUUCAGCAUGAAUUUUUCUUUUGCUGAAAGGAUAGGGAUGAGAAGAGGACACCAGAAAGCUGGAUGUCUCAUUCCCCCUGGAAGUAGUGAUGCAACAGAUGGGAACGAUUUGUUAGGUGUUUCACACGCACCUGCCUUUUGGAAUCACCCACCAAACAUAACUGAACUUAAUUUUUAUUAUCUAUAGAAGAAUUUAAUUUUGCUA